AGAGUUUGAUCCUGGCUCAGGACGAACGCUGGCGGCAUGCCUAAUACAUGCAAGUCGAACGCUGAAGCACUCUGCUUGCAGAGUGCGGAUGAGUGGCGAACGGGUGAGUAACACGUGGGAAAUCUGCCUAGGAGUGGGGGAUAACAUUCGGAAACGGAUGCUAAUACCGCAUAUCUUUUUGAACCGCAUGGUUCUUAAACGAAAGACGGCUUCGGCUGUCGCUCUUAGAUGAUCCCGCGGCGUAUUAGUUAGUUGGUGGGGUAAAGGCCUACCAAGACCAUGAUACGUAGCCGACCUGAGAGGGUGAUCGGCCACACUGGGACUGAGACACGGCCCAGACUCCUACGGGAGGCAGCAGUAGGGAAUCUUCGGCAAUGGGGGCAACCCUGACCGAGCAACGCCGCGUGAGUGAAGAAGGUUUUCGGAUCGUAAAGCUCUGUUGUAAGAGAAGAACGUGUGUGAGAGUGGAAAGUUCACACAGUGACGGUAACUUACCAGAAAGGGACGGCUAACUACGUGCCAGCAGCCGCGGUAAUACGUAGGUCCCGAGCGUUGUCCGGAUUUAUUGGGCGUAAAGCGAGCGCAGGCGGUUUAAUAAGUCUGAAGUUAAAGGCAGUGGCUUAACCAUUGUUCGCUUUGGAAACUGUUAAACUUGAGUGCAGAAGGGGAGAGUGGAAUUCCAUGUGUAGCGGUGAAAUGCGUAAAUAUAUGGAAGGAACCCGGUGGCGAAAGCGGCUCUCUGGUCUGUAACUGACGCUGAAGCUCGAAAGGCGUGGGGAGCAAACAGGAUUAGAUACCCCUGGUAAGUCCACGCCGUAAAACGAGGAAGGGCUAGGUGGUAAGGGCCCUUUCCGGGG
rnacentral:rRNA from 1 species